CUUAGAGAUCCAUUUUCUUCUCUUCCAGUAGGUGGAGCUGUGCCCUCCCAGCGGAGCUUCUGCCCUCUGCGUGCCAACAGCAGUCCCUGGAAGACUCUCAGUCUUGUCAGUCCAGAGCUGUUUCACUUCUCUAGCCCUUCCCCCCCUUCCUCCUGUCAGCCAGCCAGCCAGGUCCUGUUCACCAGAAGCGGUUCCCCAGAGAUCUAGUUACACUUGCAGCCCCACCUCGCAUCUUAUUUAAGCCCCAAGUGCUGUGGUAAACUGGUGGCUAAGACCUUGGGAGUCGCCGCUGGUGAUAUGGGGGUUUGGGGGUCAGGAAUCCCCUCUGCUUCGCUACAGACAUGCCCCUGGAGAGAUCCCUGAGGUUUCCUGGCUGCUUGUAUCUGGAUGGGGUGGGAGUCACACACCUGCUAAAGUGGAUUCCGCUGGGAAGGAAUUCCAUUGGCCGAACUCCGAUGACGUCAACUCUCUGCUAUGGCGGGCCCCAGGCUCCUUGCCGGAAUGUCCGAAGGGAGGGGUGGGACUGGUCCGUCCUCAGUUGGCCUCAGCUCCCGGCUCGCUAUUUCAUGAAGGCUUGGCUAAAGACCUCUUCCUGCCAAGCUGCAUCUCAGAGGCUAGCCACCCAUUCACGGUGGCUGCGGGUGGGUGGGCGGCCGCGCCGUGGCCCGUGGACAGAGGCUGGCGGAUCUGGACCUCUGCGUCUCGUGGCGGGGAUUCACUCGUCUGGGGCAAAUUGUCACUUCCAAAAAUCCUAGUAACUCCCGGCUGGUCUCUCUUCAGUGGAAUUUUGCUAGGAAAUUCUCUGCAAGUAGAAUCUAAGCGUAUCUAUGCGUCUUUCUGACCCCAUCACUGAGGGGGUAUUGAAAGCGCUGCCUCUACGCCCGCCGCCAUGUUGGAUCUGGAAAUUUAAAAUAUAUUUAUGUAAUCAGUGAUAUCUAUUCAGGCUGUAUAAUGGUCACAGCCUCCACAGAGAAACCACAAAAAAGGUCAUUUCCAUUUGUUAAAAUGUUUUGGAAUUGUGGAUAUUCCCAGUCUAUUAAAACUAACAAUAGGCCAGUCUAUUCUAGCAAGACAUUUCAAGCAGUUUGCAAUGAUUGGUACUUAACUGGGAUCCCCUAUAACCCUCAGACUCAAGGCAUCUUAGAAAGAACACACAAGGAAUUAAAGAUCAUGCUACAAAACAGAGGGGGAAAACUAUACCAAGUCCCCUCAUGAUGCCUUAAACAAAACCUUAUUUGCUUUAAUGUGGUGAGCCGCUUCUGCCGUUUCUGCAGACUAUGGUCGCCAUUACAAGAUGACGCUGGCUCCGCUGUGGUCUGUGACAAACAACUUCUUAUCUGGGAAAGUUGGCACAUGAUUUUUCACCACCCUGUGAGAAAGCUCCACGCGGCAGCUUUGCAUUGGGGCUUGGGAUGCUUUAUUAAGGCUGGGAGGGGCAUCCGAGAGGGAGAAGAAGAAAUAUCAAGGGCCUGAAUAAACUGCUGAAAGAAGAUUCCCAAGUUGCGUCUUCCUUGCAGGCAAGGGGUCGCGACACUUUAAAUUUUCUUUCAAUUUCAAAAUUUUCUACACAAACAGAAAGCAGCCCAUAACCAUCUACUUAUGGUCUCAUGGAUGGAGCCAAUAGCACAUGCAUGGGAUGAUCUGGGGCCCGCCCUUCCUAAUCAUGAGUUGAGGCUAAUCAUGUGUUGAGAGUGUACAUAUGUUAACAAGAGCCUCACCCCAUCUGGAUGCCUGCCAGAAAGUCAAGCCCUACACUUACAGAACUACCAACCAAGAAGAUGAAGGACCUAUCUCUGGAAGAAAAACCUCACAAACAAAGGACUCAACAACACAAAUGGACCUCACAUAAAGUAAUAUGGGGUUAUAUUAAAGGUCUUGUUGAUCUAUCCACCAAAUUGUCCCCUUUUCUUAGUGGCAACAUCAUCCCUGGGUCUAUGAUGAUGGUCCUAUUGUGUGCAGUACCUACUGCUGACAGAGAAGCCUCCCAUCAGGUAAACUGAGCUUUGGUCACUAGGCCACCACCUUUAGCAGUUGCUAAUUGGGAAAGGGCUUUACCUAAGCUCUUAUCUAAUAAGUCCAACCUUAUUAAUCAUGAGUUAUCCAUCGAGGAGGUGACUGUACCAUGUAAUACCAGCAUUUCCCUGCCUAAUCUGCCAAUUUGCUUCUUUGUAGUUUAUAGUGAAACCUAUGAUCCAGAUAGUCCCCCCUGUUUUGCUCUUGCCAAUGAAACUAUUGUAGAUAACUAUAAUAAAUCAUAUGUUGGGCUGUCUCUCACUUGUCCCCACAUAUAAACAUACAUAUUGUGAUACAUGGAUGAAUAAAAUCUGAGUCAUGUAAUUAUACAUUUAGUAAGUAUGGGGAUGUAAGGAUACAUAUCCUAUAAAAGACAUAGUGUAAUAUAUAUGCAAAUUUUACAUUCAUAAUUGAAAAUAGAAGUCAAAUACACUUUAAAAUUUGUAUUGUUGCUGGGCAUGUUAGUGAACACCUGUAAUCCCAGCCUCUCAGGCUGCUGAGACGGAAGGAUUGUGAGUUCCAUGCCAGCCUCAGCAACAGCAAGGUGCUAAGCAACUCAAUGAGACCUUGUCUCUAAACAAAAUACAAAAUAAAGCUGGGGAUGUGGCUCUCUACUUGAAUGCCUG
rnacentral:lncRNA from 1 species